AAUGAAUAUAACAUGGGCUUAUUUAUAAUAAUAGCUCUAUAACAUAGAUGAACAAAAAAGUCUGAAGACUAUAAAAAAAUAACUACAACAAUCCAAAAAUAAAACCCUAAUAAAACUAACUAAUACAAAACUAAUAAUAUUGGUGCUUGAAUUGGAACUCAGCCUUGAUAUUUUGUAUAGUGAUAUUCAUCCGGGUUUGCACCAUCUAGAACAAAACAUCGAUGCUUUUUGUUUUUGUUUCAACUAGUAUCCAUCUCACUUUUUGUUGAUAUAAUAUUCUCUCUUCAAAUAUUUGUGUGACAAUCAUUUCUUGGCAUAUGUCGAGUGACUCGAUCAACCAUCAAUCAUUGACAGCUAAAAUUUUCAUAAUAGAUCUAUUAUUAUCAAACAAAAACUUCAUCUUCAUCUUCAUCUUUAACUGACUUCGUUCCUUCAUGUGUGACCUUUGGUCUAUCUUACUCAAACAACUAUUUCAUUGUGUAACUGAAAUUUUGUUUACUAAUUUUGACAUGAAAUCUUUGCAUUAAUUGAAAUUCCAAUUCUUAAGGAAAAAUAACUGAAAUUUGAUUAAAUAAGUUCUGAUACAAAAAUUUCAAGUUAAAUUUUAAACUUAGAUUUCGGUGUCAAAUGUCAUAUUAUUUCAUAUUUCACUAAGGUGUGCUACUACUAUAUAAUCACUACUAGAAAAUGCAAAAUAAAUUUGAAAUAUAACAACCAAUAAGUCAUAUAUAGAUUAAACGGAUUACAUUAUUGAUGGCCAUAUUAUUUAAGCUAACAUUUCCUUGAAAAAAAUGGAAUUAAAAAGCAAUUAAAGCCAAUUUUAAGAUGCAUAUUGGCUUUGAGAGUUAGUGACUCGAGAAGCAUAGUAUUUGGCAAUGAAAUCAGAUGCUUUCCUAUCAAUAUCUGGCUCACCAACCCAACAUCCUAUAUCUUCAUCACUUGUAAAUAUCCUUCCUCCUCUGCCACUACCUUCCAAUUGCUCAUAUCUCAUUUUACUUGAAAAACAAGAUUUGAAUAAGCUUAUAAAUGAGUUAGAAGAUGAUUUUUUUGCACCCAUAUUGAGUCUAAACAAUAAGUCACUAACACACUUCAAUAGCUCCUACGUGUUUGAAGGAUAUAGAAACAAAUACUUGAGCUAUAAGUUUCAGUGUUGUGUGUUUGUAUUUAUAGAGUGGGAAGCACAUGGUUACAAAAGAUUAGUAUAUUGUUUCAUAUCAAAAGUAAGGAUUUUG
rnacentral:lncRNA from 1 species